GCGGACAACAUGAUUGCCACAGUAAGUGAUCCCCAUCUCGAAUCUCAUAUCUCCUCUCCCUUUUCGUCCUCCUCGCAGCAAUCGAGUGAUCUCUGGACGCAGCGGUUUAUCGAUCUCUUCCUGGCCUUGUCGGUCUCUUUUCGGGGUGGAUUCGAUGGUUUCUUUUCUUGCUGAGGUUACAAAGCCGGAAUCGGUCGAUAAACCUCUGCAUCCGGACUUCCGCCGACAACCAUUCCUCCGUCCUCCCCCCAACCCAAAACACUCCCCCCCCAACCCCACCUUCUUCCUCCACUUGUUUUCGUCAUCUUAUAUAAUGAUUGGGCAAUGAAGAGGUGGUAGCUGUUAGGGCUAAUUGAUACGGCCGAUUCGAUGCCGAUUUCGAUCCCUUUUUUUUACUCAGAUUAUUGUCGGCAUUCUGCAGAAUUUCAAUCAACGAAUAAUGGUGCCAUCAGCAUUUAGAUCGAUUCAAAAUGGGUGACGUCUUGAGUUGUGAUGAUGGACAGAGAAAACAGUAAAUAUGUUUGAUUUAAUGUCUCUCAGUUCUUUCUUAUGCCUUCAAUUUUUCAUUGUUCUUUUGGAUUCGUUUAUCAUUUCAUUAUCUUCACCAUUUGAUCUAUCCAUAUUUUGGAUUAUUCACUGAAUAGGACGUAAAUGUUUUGUAUUAAACAGACAGCAGAGGACUACUAGAAAUCUUUAUUUACAGAAACUACCAUUAUUGGUUAAUUCGUCAAGGAUGAGAGGUCGGAAUAUACUCUGAGAUGGCUUAAACUUUGCUUUGGGAGGACUAAAUGGGGAAAAUAAGCUCAACUGGUCAAAUUAAUGUGACAGGAUGGCACAGUUUUUAUGAAGAUGAUUGAGAUAUAUUCCAUAUUUUGAUGUUUAAACAGUUAGCCUCAGAAAUAUUUUUCAUUUAAUUUAUUCCUUCUACCAAGAUUUGUUGUUCUCCAUGGAUGUGAACCUCCCUAUAUUUGUUAUGUUUGCAAUGCUUGAAGGUGAAUCUGUAUAAAGAAUUUAAACAUAAAUAUUUUUCUAAC
rnacentral:lncRNA from 1 species